GUCUUUGUCCCACUGGACUCGUCCUGCAAACUGUUUAUCCUGAGACUCUGGGACCUCGACUCCUUCAUGGAGAUGAAACAGGACUUGAUCCUUGAGAUCAGUUAUCAGUUCACAGAAGACAUUAAGAGAGGUGGAGGAGGUGUGAGGGUUGGUGGUGAAGGUCCACUCCAGUGUGAUUUCCUGGUUCUCCUCUGCCUGAUAGGAGGUCUGGGUCACAUUCACUACAAAUGUUCCAUAGACACAGGAGGUCAGGAUGA